CGCGCAGGCGGCCAUUUAAGUUGGAUGUGAAAGCCUACGGCUCAACCGUAGAACUGCAUCCAAAACUAUUUGGCUAGAGUGUGGGAGAGGAAGAUGGAAUUAGUUGUGUAGGGGUAAAAUCCGUAGAGAUAACUAGGAAUACCAAAAGCGAAGGCAAUCUUCUGGAACAUUACUGACGCUGAGGCGCGAAAGCGUGGGGAGCAAACA
rnacentral:rRNA from 1 species